rnacentral:misc_RNA from 1 species
GACAAAAACCAAGCAAGCUCAUUCAGAUAUACAAUAGCCGCAAUUUUGUUCCAGAAUCUCCACUCUAGCUCCCAAACUAAUGCUCUUUCCUUUUGUCCUUCAUCUUCUUGGGAAAGCGUUCAUGAGGCCCUAAUUGAACUUCAACAUGCAUUUGUGACCAAAGCGUUCCAAAAUGAUUAUGAAAGCUCUUCUUAAACCAGUGUAAAAUUUCCAAAUGCAGCUCAUCAGGAUUCUCUUUCCAUACCUCUCUUAACAUGGCACAACUAUCAAUCAACUUGGCCUCUAACUUAAAUAAAAGAUUCCCAACUCGCCUUCCACCUACAGCUUCUCUAUCCAAAAUGAUACUAGGACGAGCUGCCAUAAAAUUCCGUACAGAUCUAAAGCAGGGCAAAACAUGGCCUUCAAGUAAGGCAUAAGCAAACACCCUCGCACGUUCUACAUCAUUGCCAACUGGCGCACUGUACAGUGGCAG